UUCCGGUUGGUCCUGCCGGACCUGACUGCUAUCGGAUUGAUACUAAGCCAUGCGAGUCAUUGUAGUAAUACAAGGCAGACGGCUCAGUAACGCGUAGUCAACCUAACCUAUGGACGGAAAUAACCUCGGGAAACUGAGCAUAAUACCCGAUAGAACAUUAUGCCUGGAAUGGUUUAUGUUCCAAAUGAUUUAUCGCCGUAGGAUGGGACUGCGGCCUAUCAGUUUGUUGGUGAGGUAAUGGCCCACCAAGACUAUUACAGGUACGGGCUCUGAGAGGAGUAGCCUGGAGAUGGGUACUGAGACACGGACCCAGGCCCUAUGGGGCGCAGCAGGCGAGAAAACUUUGCAAUGUGCGAAAGCACGACAAGGUUAAUCCGAGUGGUUCCUGCUAAAGGAACCUUUUGACAGUCCUAAAAACACUGAUGAAUAAGGGGUGGGCAAGUUCUGGUGUCAGCCGCCGCGGUAAAACCAGCACCUCAAGUGGUCAGGAUGAUUAUUGGGCCUAAAGCAUCCGUAGCCGGCUCUGUAAGUUUUCGGUUAAAUCUGUACGCUCAACGUACAGGCUGCCGGGAAUACUGCAGAGCUAGGGAGUGGGAGAGGUAGACGGUACUCGGUAGGAAGGGGUAAAAUCCUUUGAUCUAUUGAUGACCACCUGUGGCGAAGGCGGUCUACCAGAACACGUCCGACGGUGAGGGAUGAAAGCUGGGGGAGCAAACCGGAUUAGAUACCCGGGUAGUCCCAGCUGUAAACCAUGCAAACUCAGUGAUGCAUUGGCUUAUGGCCAAUGCAGUGCUGCAGGGAAGCCGUUAAGUUUGCCGCCUGGGAAGUACGUACGCAAGUAUGAAACUUAAAGGGAUUGGCGGGGGAGCACCACAAGGGGUGAAGCCUGCGGUUCAAUUGGAGUCAACGCCAGAAAUCU
rnacentral:rRNA from 1 species